rnacentral:rRNA from 1 species
AUGGCCCUCUCCGACGUCGACCUCGACUUCGAGGCCUUCCUCGCCCACCUCGCCUCCGGCCUCGACGCGCCGCCUCCGACGCAGACGUCCCCCGUGCCGGCUCUGUCGUCGUCGCCGGAUCUUCUUCCCAUGCUCACGUCGUCGCCGGAGGCGGGCCUGCUGAGCCCCGCUGCCCCGUCGCCGCUGGAAGUACCCAUGGACACGUCGUCGCCGUCGGAGGGCGGCCUGCUGACCCCAGGUGCGCUGUCGCCGGAUCUUCCCAUGACCACGUCGUCGCCGGAGGAGGGCACGUCGUCGGGAUCGGCGGGGACCGUCGCCGUCGCCGGACCAGACGACGGCGACAGGGAGCGGAGGCUCCGCCGCAAGGUGUCCAACCGCGAGUCGGCGCGCCGGUCACGCGCGCGCAAGCAGCGGCACCUCGAGGAGCAGCGCGCCGCGGCCGCCACGCUCCGGGCCGGGAACCGGCACCUCGCCGAGAAGCUCCGGGUCGCCAGGGCGCGCGCGGGGCUCGUCGCGCUCGCCAACGCCCGCCUCCGCGCCCAGGGCCAGGCCCUGAGCCGACGCCUCGACGCCGCGCGCCAGGCCCUCGCCCUCAGGCAGCUCUACGCCGCCGCGUCGGCCUCCGGCGGCGCCCUGGACAUGCAGGCGCUCGCCUCGCUGAUCCGGUAG